AAACAGUCAGCAAGAAAACAGUCAGCAAGAAAACAGUCAACAUCAAAACAGUCAACCAUAAACAGUCAGCAAGAAAACAGUCAGCAAGAAAACAGUCAGCAAGAAAACAGUCAACAUCAAAACAGUCAACCAUAAACAGUCAGCAAGAAAACAGUCAAAAAGAAAACAGUCAGCAAGAAAACAGUCAACAAGAAAACAGUCAACCAUAAACAGUCAGCAAGAAAACAGUCAACAAGAAAACAGUCAACAAGAAAACGCUGCUCCCCCGUGUCGUUCAGGAGCCCAAACAAAGUUGGCGUGCUACAAUAUCGGACAGUAGAAACCAACCAGAAAGUUCGGAAAAUUGUCUGAAUCCUCCUUUGGCCACGACUGCCGACACAAGCAAGAAAACAAAGUAAAUACCGGAGACUCUGGAGGAAUAACGGGCGCUUAAAACGGAGGUAGACCGGACAAGAGCUAAAAAGCCGGGUCAACAUUAACGAUGGGGGACGCUUGGGGAUCUUGGUGACCCUGUAACCUUUCUGCUGGACAGGUAAACCGCUUUAACAAAGUAAGACAAGUGUCUGUAACAGAAGUGUUUCUUGUCAAACGGACCUGCUGUAGCGUGUUGUAGCGCCAUCGCUAAACUGUCCUCCCUCGGGUCCUGGACUAUGUCACUUUAUCCUCGUUGUAGAAGUCCUGCAAACAUUGUGUUUGCUGGUAGUCUGUUGGCAUCUACAGUAGCACCAAUGCUUUUGACUUUCACCUUGACUGGGCCCCAUUUGUAAUGAUCUGAAGUAUUUAUCUGCAUUAUAUCUGAAUUUAACUGGAACGAUACGAGCGAGCAGGAGCGUCUGUUUGUGGGCGGGGCUUGAGGGGAGAGAGAGAGAGAGAGAGAGAGAGAGAGAGAGAGAGAGAGAGAGAGAGUGUUUCUCUGUGUUGUCUCUUUAACUCUGUGGCUCUAAAACAGUUGAAGUGUGUUUCUGCUCGAUGAGGUUUCUAUGAGGUGAAUAAAUGUUGGUUCAGUUGAUCUUCAGGACGGCUGCAGCUUUAAGAACUUCGGCUUGUUGGAGUUUGAGAGUCUAAAGUUCACAGAGACACUCCUCCUCCUGGAUUGUAGACAAACU